rnacentral:rRNA from 1 species
AGAGAGGUAGCUUGCUACUGAUCUUAGCGGCGGACGGGUGAGUAAUGCUUAGGAAUCUGCCUAUUAGUGGGGGACAACAUUUCGAAAGGAAUGCUAAUACCGCAUACGUCCUACGGGAGAAAGCAGGGGAUCUUCGGACCUUGCGCUAAUAGAUGAGCCUAAGUCGGAUUAGCUAGUUGGUGGGGUAAAGGCCUACCAAGGCGACGAUCUGUAGCGGGUCUGAGAGGAUGAUCCGCCACACUGGGACUGAGACACGGCCCAGACUCCUACGGGAGGCAGCAGUGGGGAAUAUUGGACAAUGGGCGCAAGCCUGAUCCAGCCAUGCCGCGUGUGUGAAGAAGGCCUUAUGGUUGUAAAGCACUUUAAGCGAGGAGGAGGCUACUUUAGUUAAUACCUAGAGAUAGUGGACGUUACUCGCAGAAUAAGCACCGGCUAACUCUGUGCCAGCAGCCGCGGUAAUACAGAGGGUGCAAGCGUUAAUCGGAUUUACUGGGCGUAAAGCGCGCGUAGGCGGCUAAUUAAGUCAAAUGUGAAAUCCCCGAGCUUAACUUGGGAAUUGCAUUCGAUACUGGUUAGCUAGAGUGUGGGAGAGGAUGGUAGAAUUCCAGGUGUAGCGGUGA